AUGGCCUCGCCGCAGCAGUCGCCGCCGGCGAAGAAACCCCCACCACUCCCCCCGACGACCAUAAGCGCCCUGGACCUAGACACCCUGCGCGAGAUCUUCCUCUGCCUCCCCUCUCUCCCGAGCCUCGCCCGCGCCGCCCUCAGCUGCCGCACCUUCUUGGACGCCGUCCGUUCAUCGCCCGCUUUCCGCCGCCGGUUCCGUGCGCUCCACCCACCCCCGCUCCUAGGCCACUUCCUCACCACCCAAGACACCACCAUCCCCACCUUCGUGCCCCUCCGCAGCCGCUCCGACCCGGACAUAGCGGCGGCGGUACGCGGCGCCGAUUUCUUCCUCACCCGCCUCCCAGUCCUCGAAGACGGCGCCGUGCCCGUUCCUGCACCCGUCUCCGCCCCCGAAGACAACGGGGAUGGCGUGUCCAUUCCUUUCCCCGCCCCCGCACCCGAAGACGACGGCGAGGAUGCCGUCUCCGGCUCUGAAGACGACGACGAGGAUCCCAUCCCCGACCCCGAGUGGUCAAUCGACGACUGCCGCGACGGAUUCGUCGUUCUCCACAACUGGAGCACUCAGCAGAUCGCCGUCUACAACCCGCUCGCCCGGACCCUGGACCUCUUCCCCCUGCCGCCCCGCCGGGAGGACUGCGAGGGCCAGUAUUCUGAUUACUACAUCCUCGCCGAGGAAGAAGAAGAAGACUACUUGCCGUAUCGCGUCGUGUGCGUCUGGCACAGCGAACGCGGGGCGCGCGCCAUGGUUUUAUCAUCGGACACCAGCAAGUGGCAGAUUUUCCCAUGGGUAGACAUUGAUGGGCUCUGGCCUCAAACUGGUAAGCUGGUGAAUGGCUGCAUCUAUUGGACCAUUGGGAUGAAUGAUGCCCGUGUGCUUAACACUGCUACAAUGCAAUUCUCUCGGAUGGAUAAGCCGCCACGCAGGAGAGGGAAUGAGAUAUUGACGGCUGGUAAGACCAAGGAUGGAAGACUCUGUGUGGUCUGCGCACCUUUGGGGCCACUGACAUUUGAAUCCGUGCUUGCUGUUUGGAUUCGGAGAGCCGAUGAUGAUGGCGUCGAGAGGUGGAUGUUGGAUAAGUCACUCCCCUUGCAGGAGAUAGCUGGAAUCGUUCGGUGUGAAUUCAAGGAAGACAAUGUUAAAUAUCAAGUGACUGUUAGGACGAUUAUCGAUGGAUUUGUGUACUUCUCUGCUUAUUGUGGGGUGUGGCAGCAUCAUCAUUCGACACUCUGGCUCCUAUCAUUCUGCUUGGAAACAGCGGCGCUGAACAAGCUUGGGCGUAUCCUUAGUGGUGUUUCCUAUCCCUACAUCAUGCCGUGGCCUCGUUCUUUGGUUGGUACACAGCAAGCAAACUAG
rnacentral:rRNA from 1 species